rnacentral:rRNA from 1 species
CUAGAUUUCCUGGGCCCACAAGAGAUAAUGAAAAAAGAUUUCUCUCCUAAAUGUUUGAGGAGAAUUGAUCCCUUUGAUCUAUUCAAAUGGAACUGGAUUCCAUCUGAAGGAAAGUUAGGAGGCAUCCUGUGUGGGGUUCGACAAGAUACCUUAGAGAUUUUGUCUUGCAACAAAGGCAAGUAUAUUCUCCAAGUUAUACUUAGUGACAAGAAGAAGAAUAGUAAGUGGGGCCUUAUGGUGGUUUAUGGAUCGGCCCACAAUGAGUUCAAGGAGGAAAUUUUUCUUGAACUGGCUGCCAUGUGCAGUAGUAUGCAAAUUCCAUAUAUAGUGGGUGGGGACUUCAAUAUCCUUAGACACCCAGGGGAGAAGAACAAGAGAAUGACGAGCCAUAAAUCCUCAGACCUCUUUAAUUCCAUCAUUAAUACCCUGGCACUCAGAGAAAUCCAUAUGAGUGGGGGUAAGUAUACUUGGACAAAUAAUCAGGCCCACCCAACCUUGGAAAAGCUUGACCGCAUUCUGAUGUCUGAGAGCUGGGAGGACUUAUUUCCCCUAGUCUCUUUAAGGAAAUUAGUGCGUGAGAUCUCUGACCAUAACCCCCUGCUGCUUUCUUCGGGGGAGGAAGGCCGGGAGGCCCCCAAACCCCGCGAGUUCCGCUUCGAUCUCUCCUGGAUCAAGGAUGAUCGCUUCCUGUCGCUGGUUAGUACGAUAUGGAGGAGGAGGGUGUUCUCCUCAGACCCCAUUGAUAUCCUGAAUAUAAUAUUUAAGAGGUUUAAAACCUAUUUUAAGGGCUGGGGCUCAGACAAAUUUGGGCAUAACAAAAAAGAUCGAAGAAGAGCUCAGGUCGGAGCUAGCCGAGCUGGAGGAGCUAGAGGAGCUUGGACCCCUGUUGCCUGA